AAGGAUCAUUACCGAGUUCAUGCCCUCACGGGUAGAUCUCCCACCCUGUGUAUACUAUACCUUUGUUGCUUUGGCGGGCCGCCUAGCUACCGGCUUCGGCUGGUAAGUGCCCGCCAGAGGACCCCAAACUCUGAAUUAUUAGUGUCGUCUGAGUAAAAGUUUAAUAUUUUAAAACUUUCAACAACGGAUCUCUUGGCUCUG
rnacentral:misc_RNA from 1 species